CUGGUUGAUCCUGCCAGUAGUCAUAUGCUUGUCUCAAAGAUUAAGCCAUGCAUGUCUAAGUAUAAGCACUUUAUACUGUGAAACUGCGAAUGGCUCAUUAAAUCAGUUAUAAUUUACUUGAUAGUACCUUACUACUUGGAUAACAGUGGUAAUUCUAGUGCUAAUACAUGCUUUAAGCCCCGACUUCUGGAAGGGGUGUAUUUAUUAGAUUAAAAACCAAUCGUAGCAAUACGUUUACUGGUGAAUCAUGAUAACUAUUCGAAUCGCAUGGCUCUGCCGGCGAUGGUUCAAUCAAAUUUCUGCCCUAUCAAGUUUCAAUCGUAGUAUAGAGGACUACGAUGCUUACAACGGGUAACGGAGAAUUAGGGUUCGAUUCCGGAGAGGGAGCCUGAGAAACGGCUACCACAUCCAAGGAAGGCAGCAGGCGCGCAAAUUACCCAAUCCCGACACGGGGAGGUAGUGACAAUAAAUAACAAUACAGAGCUUUUUAAGUUUUGUAAUUGUAAUGAGAACAAUUUAAACCUCUUAUCGAGAACCAAUUGGAGGACAAGUCUGGU
rnacentral:rRNA from 1 species